rnacentral:rRNA from 1 species
UNUCUCAAAGACUAAGCCAUGCAGUGUAAGUAUGAGUGAAUUGUACAACGAAACUGCGAAUGGCUCGGUAAAACAGCUAUAGUUUCUUCGGUGGUAAAUGCUACUUGGAUACCCGUAGUAAUUCUAGAGCUAAUACAUGCUAAGAAGCGAUGCUUGCAUCGCUGAGCAAGUUACAGAUACAAACCAAUAUUUGGUGAUUCAUAACUUUUUUUCUGAUUGCCCUUUUGGGGCGACACACCGUUCAAAUUUCUGACCUAUCAACUUUGGAUGGUAAGGUAUUGUCUUACCAUGGUUGUGACGGGUAACGGACCGUGGGUGCGGGACUCCGGAGAGGGAGCCUGAGAAACGGCUACCACAUCCAAGGAAGGCAGCAGGCGCGCAAAUUACCCAAUCCGGACACCGGGAGGUAGUGACAAGAAAUAGCAAUAGAGGGCCCAACGGGUUUUCUAAUUGGAAUGAGAACUAGGUAAACAGCAUAUCGAGGAACCAGCAGAGGGCAAGUCUGGUGCCAGCAGCCGCGGUAAUUCCAGCUCUGUAAGCGUAUACCAAAGUUGUUGCAGUUAAAACGCUCGUAGUCGGACUUUGGCGGGCGACCAGGGGCGUCUUCACGGACGUGUUUUGGUUGGCCGCCUUUGUGGAGGGGGGCCCAGCGGUGCUUCACUGCGCCACUGUGGUCGCUGCCACCUUUUACUGUGAAAAAAUUAGAGUGUUCAAAGCGGGCGUUUGCCAUGAAUACAUUAGCAUGGAAUAAUAGAAUAGGACCUGUCUCCUGUUUUGUUGGUUUGUGAGGAUCGGGUAAUGAUUAAGAGGGACGGUUGGGGGCAUUUGUAUUCCGGCGUCAGAGGUGAAAUUCUUGGAUGUCGGAA